rnacentral:rRNA from 1 species
AUUGAACGCUGGCGGAAUGCUUUACACAUGCAAGUCGAACGGCAGCACGGACUUCGGUCUGGUGGCGAGUGGCGAACGGGUGAGUAAUGUAUCGGAACGUGCCCAGUCGUGGGGGAUAACGUAGUGAAAAUUACGCUAAUACCGCAUACGAUCUAUGGAUGAAAGCGGGGGAUCGCAAGACCUCGCGCGAUUGGAGCGGCCGAUAUCAGAUUAGGUAGUUGGUGGGGUAAAGGCCCACCAAGCCAACGAUCUGUAGCUGGUCUGAGAGGACGACCAGCCACACUGGAACUGAGACACGGUCCAGACUCCUACGGGAGGCAGCAGUGGGGAAUUUUGGGCAAUGGGCGAAAGCCUGAUCCAGCCAUUCCGCGUGCAGGAUGAAGGCCCUCGGGUUGUAAACUGCUUUUGUACAGAACGAAAAGGUUUCUACUAAUACUAGGAGCUCAUGACGGUACUGUAAGAAUAAGCAUCGGCUAACUACGUGCCAGCCGCCGCGGUAA